rnacentral:rRNA from 1 species
CGACGCCGCGUGAGGGAUGACGGCCUUCGGGUUGUAAACCUCUUUCAGCAGGGAAGAAGCGCAAGUGACGGUACCUGCAGAAGAAGCGCCGGCUAACUACGUGCCAGCAGCCGCGGUAAUACGUAGGGCGCAAGCGUUGUCCGGAAUUAUUGGGCGUAAAGAGCUCGUAGGCGGUUUGUCGCGUCUGGUGUGAAAACUCGAGGCUCAACCUCGAGCUUGCAUCGGGUACGGGCAGACUAGAGUGCGGUAGGGGAGACUGGAAUUCCUGGUGUAGCGGUGGAAUGCGCAGAUAUCAGGAGGAACACCGAUGGCGAAGGCAGGUCUCUGGGCCGCAACUGACGCUGAGGAGCGAAAGCAUGGGGAGCGAACAGGAUUAGAUACCCUGGUAGUCCAUGCCGUAAACGUUGGGCACUAGGUGUGGGGCUCAUUCCACGAGUUCCGUGCCGCAGCAAACGCAUUAAGUGCCCCGCCUGGGGAGUACGGCCGCAAGGCUAAAACUCAAAGGAAUUGACGGGGGCCCGCACAAGCGGCGGAGCAUGCGGAUUAAUUCGAUGCAACGCGAAGAACCUUACCAAGGCUUGACAUGCACGGGAAGCCACCAGAGAUGGUGGUCUCUUUGGACACUCNNGCACAGGUGGUGCAUGGUUGUCGUCAGCUCGUGUCGUGAGAUGUUGGGUUAAGUCCCGCAACGAGCGCAACCCUCGUCCCAUGUUGCCAGCGGGUUAUGCCGGGGACUCAUGGGAGACUGCCGGGGUCAACUCGGAGGAAGGUGGGGAUGACGUCAAAUCAUCAUGCCCCUUAUGUCUUGGGCUUCACGCAUGCUACAAUGGCCGGUACAAAGGGCUGCGAUACCGUAAGGUGGAGCGAAUCCCAAAAAGCCGGUCUCAGUUCGGAUUGGGGUCUGCAACUCGACCCCAUGAAGUNGNAGUCGCUAGUAAUCGCAGAUCAGCAACGCUGCGGUGAAUACGU